CCAGCCGCACCGAAGGCAAGCGAACCGGACACGUACGGACCCACCUUACCCCCAAUACCCAACAAUCAACAGAUUUUUUAAAAAUUCUUCCGCCCCGCCCCGCUCGCUUUUGCCGUCCUAUCCCUGGGCCUGGGGGUCGUAAGGGUUCCCCCUUGGAAGUUUGACCGGAGGAAAGGGUUUGGCCCGUUAAAAAAGAAAUUACGCCUUGAAACCCCCCCCCCGGAUUUGGUAGGUGCCACGAAAAGGCCCUCCUUCUUUUUUACCUUCGCCAAUGACCGCCCGCUUAAUGUACGCGCACCUUCGAUUUCCCACGACCAGUUGACCCCACGCGUUGAGAGUAGUUUUGAUGUAAGUUUGGGUAGAAAACAUACGUCGAAGGGCGUACCGACGUACCACAGAAGCCCGCUAGACGGCCGCACCGUGUAUAGUGGGGCAGCUCUCAGAAUUUGGGGAAGGCUGCAGCGUUUUUACUCGAUUGAAGCCCCGGUCACCGGGAGGUCAUGAAGCGGGAACUGACGAGAGAGAGAGGGAUUCCAGCGCGCGUGAAUGGAACCAUGGGAGAACACAGUGCGAGGGGAUCUAUGUCCGAACGACGUGAGAGCGAAGCGGGGAGGAACGGAUAGAACCUGGUGUACACGCCGUAACGAGAGGGUAGUUUAGGGGUUCCGCCCUUAGUGCGCAGGAACGCAUUAGCAUCCGCCUGGGAGUACGUCGCAAGACAAAACCAACGAAUGAGGGGGCCGCACAGCGGGGAGCAUGUGGUUAAUUGAAGCACGCGAGAACCUACCAGGUCUGACUCCUCGACAAUCCACAGAUGGACGUCCCUUCGGGGCAGAGGACAGGUGUGCAUGGUGUCGUCAGCUUUGUCUUGAGAUGUGGGUUAAGUCCCGCAACGAGCGCAACCCUUGAUCUUUGUAGCCAGCAUUCAGUUGGGCACUGUAAGGUGAGAGCCGGUGACAAACCGGAGGAAGGUGGGGAUGACCUCAAAUCAUCAUGCCCCUUAUGACCUGGGCUACACACGUGCUACAAUGGACAGAACAAAGGGCAGCGAAACCGCGAGGUUAAGCCAAUCCCACAAAUCUGUUCUCAGUUCGGAUCGCAGUCUGCAACUCGACUGCGUGAAGCCGGAAUCGCUAGUAAUCGCGGAUCAGCAUGCCGCGGUGAAUACGUUCCCGGGCCUUGUACACACCGCCCGUCACACCACGAGAGUUUGUAACACCCGAAGUCGGUGAGGUAACCUUUUAGGAGCCAGCCGCCGCAAGGUGGGACAGCUGAUUGGAGGAAGUCGAAGCAACGAGCCAGCC
rnacentral:rRNA from 1 species